GCCUGAGUGGCUCAGUCCGUUGAGCGUCUGACUUUGGCUCAGGUCAUGAUCUCACAGUUCAUGGGUUCGAGCCCUGUGUCAGGCU
rnacentral:tRNA from 1 species